CACACACACAGCUUCACAUUGAGUCUGAACAAACUGUUCCCAGAGAAGACCAGCUUAUGAGAAGAGAGAAAUAAGGGUUCCAGGAUGACUUUGACCGUGGAAAGUCUUACUUGCAUCAUUGGGAUCAAAGGGAUCAAAAUUGUAAUAUUAGGCUUGACUUUAACCUCCACCCCUGCCCUAAUAGGAGUUGCGGCAUUGGUAGUAGUGGGAGUUGUCGUAUACAAAAUGGUGGGAAAAGAAAAGCCAAAAAGGACCUGAUCAUAGAGGAUAAUUUAGUCCUCUAUAUUUACCUGUGAAAAUAUAAAUGGAUGCUUGACAAUAAAAACAAAGAUGGCAGACUAUCUUUAUCUGACUAAAUAGCUGCAAUAACUGCAUUUUGAACACACCCUUUGGUCUAUUGUUACAUGCAAACUUGAGUUAGUGCUGCCCUGGGAAAGUACCAUCCAUCCAGAAGGUUCAAAACACUACUUCUCUUUAGUAUAGGAAACACUUUGAACUAUCUUGUUAAAAACUGACUCAAUCUGAUUGAGCGCUCUCUGGCAUGGUGUUUAGAAGUGACAGAUAGUUAAAAAAAGAAAAAAAGGUACCAAAGCUUACUAUUCCCAUAGUAUACAUAUAUACUGUAUUGCCACUGUGGUCAGUCUUCUCUGUGUAGUCACAUAUUUGGGGAAAUCAUGGUUUCAAUGUCGUUUUUUUACAUAACGUUUUUGACUUCAGUCAAGUUGUUUAAUCAAAACUGUUUUAGUGGAAAAGCUAAAAGGCUUUCGUUUUAUUGUCUGUAAACUUUAAAAAAAAAAAAUGUUUUACUGCGUAUCAUCAUUUAUUGGAUUAAGGCAGAUUUAAGACUGUAAUUCUAAAAUGAAUGGGUACAAGAAAUACCCAUCAAUUGCUUUUAUACUGAUAACUUACCGUGAGUGGAAUGAAUUCGUCAAAACAAAUGUCAUCUCACCGGAGCCAAGCAACAACUGCUGAAACAAACAAAAGCAUUUACUCAAGAGGAGGAAUGUAAUCCAACAGGAAGUCCAGAAGAAUGCAAUCCUGUCUAUAAUUAUGUCUGCUACUCUAUGGCUAUGCUGUAGUGAAUAAAUCGGGAAAAUGCCUGUUUCUGCUCUGAAA